rnacentral:tmRNA from 2 species
GGGGGCGAUCGGCUUCGACGGGGGUCGUGAAGUCACUUGAUGCAUGUCGAGGGGGCAGCUUUCCUCGUAAAUCCAGCGGCAAACAAGCUUAGUUGCGAACGACGACAACUACGCACUGGCCGCCUAAAUAGGCCAGUCCGGAACCCAUCGGUGCCUGCAACGGUGGAGUUUCCGGUCAUAUUUGCAGGAUCGCCCGGCUGUGUCGUCUGCCGCUGACGGGCUAAAUCAAGCGGACUGGUCCGGCGGUGUGCUUCGCACGUCGUGUUGCCGUCGGGCGAGAUCAAACGGCGAGCUAAACAUGUAGAUUCGAGGAUGGAGCAUCUUCGGACGGGGGUUCAAUUCCCCCCGCCUCCACCA